rnacentral:lncRNA from 1 species
AGGGAUCGCCACCUACAUGGUUUUAUUACAUUUUAUUUUGCAAAUAUUUACACAUACAAGGAGAGUAUAAAGAAAAAUAAAGUGAACACCAGCUUAGCAAAUAAAACACGCCCUGCACAUUUGAAGUGCCGUUAAGCAUUCCUCUCUGAUCACGUCUCAUUUCUUCCUUGCCUCUAGAGGGAGCCACCGGUAUUUAUCUUCCACUGUGUUUUUAGUACAAUAAUUGCAGGUACUCUUAGCUGUAUAUAAUAUCCUUUUGUACGUUUUAAAAGUUUGUAUACAAAAUCUUAUACCAUAUUGUUCUGUGUUCAUUUGACAUUUUCUUCUAACAUUUUUGUUCAUGGGAAUCCUGCACAUUGUCAGUCAUGCCUGUAGUUUAUUGCUUUUCUCUGUUGCAUAUUAUUUCAUUAUUUGAGCAUAGCAUAAUUUAUUUAUUUAUUAUCUUGCUCUUGGACAUUUGGGUGUUUUCCCAUUAUUUUCUAAUUUUCUAAGUCUUUAUACACAUAAUGUCUUGUGGGUGAAAGAUAUUAAAGACACUACAUGAUUUUUAUUCCAAAUUAUAAGCCAUCAUCGUAUUACCUUCUCCUGUUAUGGAGACCAGUUCAUCUCACUUAGUUUAUGUAAGUUUUUCAGUUUAAAUGUGUCUUCAUAGUGAACUGGAAUAAUGCCAAAUCCAGCCACAGUCUUCUACGGUUUCUAAUACUUAGAUUUCAAACUGAGAUCACAAGCAGGAAGGGUGACAGCUAGAGUAGAGAUAACAUUUUCAGGGUCAUUUCAGGAAAUGAAAGGUCCAAAUAGAAUUUGAUUAGGAAUUGAAAUAUGGUGCCUAACCUGUAGUGAACCAUUGCUGCUGAAUGUCCUUUUUAGGCAAACAAACAUUGUUAUUGUGCAGUAUUUCAGCAUCACCUUCUGGAUAGGACUGAACUCAUGAGUUAUUUGUAAAUGAAUUACAACUCUCUUUUACAUUAUUACUAAAGUAACCAUCUUUUGAUCACAGUUUGUUCUAAGUUUCUUAGAAUGCUUCUUGCUCAGUCUACUGAACUGAGAUGUAAACUCAGCAACUAUUUGCUGUAGACUCUGCUUUACAAUAUGGCUUGGGGACGAGAAAGUCCCUGUGGGUCUGUGGUAUCUAACAUAGUAGCCACCAGCUCCAUGUGGCUAUU